AGAGUUUGAUCCUGGCUCAGGAUAAACGCUGGCGGCGCACAUAAGACAUGCAAGUCGAACGGACUUAAUCGAAAUAUUUAUAUUUUGAAGCGGUUAGUGGCGGACUGGUGAGUAACGCGUGAGGAACCUGCCUAUUAGAGGGGAAUAACAGUGAGAAAUCAUUGCUAAUACCGCAUAUGCCAUAGAUAUCACAUGAUAACAGUGGGAAAGGAGCAAUCCGCUAAUAGAUGGCCUUGCGUCUGAUUAGAUAGUUGGUGGGGUAACGGCCUACCAAGUCGACGAUCAGUAGCCGGACUGAGAGGUUGAACGGCCACAUUGGGACUGAGAUACGGCCCAGACUCCUACGGGAGGCAGCAGUCGGGAAUAUUGCGCAAUGGAGGAAACUCUGACGCAGUGACGCCGCGUAUAGGAAGAAGGUUUUCGGAUUGUAAACUAUUGUCGUUAGGGAAGAGAAAGGACAGUACCUAAGGAGGAAGCUCCGGCUAACUACGUGCCAGCAGCCGCGGU
rnacentral:rRNA from 1 species